AACCUCUUUGCUUUCUUUGCUUUGUCCUCAAGUUGGUGAGGCCUGAGGCAACUAGGUCAAGGAGAAAAGACCACACGGUGACAGGCCAGGAGGCCGGCUUUGGCAAGGGCGGGACUGUGAGCAGGGCUCACCGGAAGCAGCUGCACCAAGGCAGAGCUGAGAUAACAGGCCUUUUCUCCUGGCACCUCAGAGUAAUUUUUUCUGCCUCGGCACACCCUUAGCUUCCAAAGGUCUGGGAUCAGACCACAAGCCUCAAAUUCUCUGAAGGGGAAAGCCUCUCUGCCCCACUAACCAACACCCGUGUCUGUGUCUGUGUCGAUCAGCAGGGACUGCUCAGCCGCACACUGGAGUCCUGCUGUCCACAAGGAAGACCGAAGAUGCUGGGCUGGGCACCUACAUUCUCAGCCAUUUCCACCUGCCCGUGCGUGAGAGAAGGUUUCGAUGGUAGGAAGGCAGGCAACGGGGAAACUGAGAGGGACGGAGCUCCCGAGAAGCAGAAAGCAGCAGCGCCCGCUCGGAGCCCUAGGGAAGAGUCAAAAACUACCAUUCACGAUCGUAGAUUUUCCAGCAGAAGGUGCCAGAACUCCAUCACGGUGCUGGUCAGCAUGCCGUGACCAAGCAGAGAGGACUCCCGGAGCAGCCGUCUCAGACACAAGGGUGGACACGAGCAUCUUAAAAGACUGAUGUUCUGCCAAAUAUGCUGACAUACUUUAGGCAAUACUGGCCUAAUCUCUACCUAACAACCCGCUUGGAUUGAAUUGCCUGCACUGACUGUUACUGGAGUUCAUGAUGGAGCUGCAAUAGGAAACUAACACAAAGCAAUAGAAUUGGGCAGAGUUGUGCCGUGUAAUAUCUAAAGUAGGGCCUUAAGGGAUCUGCAGUUUCUAAUUUCAUCCCUCUGAAGUCAGAUGUCACGUAGAAGUCCAUUACGGCUAGUCACCAUGCUGUGAGGAAGCUCAAGCUAGCCAGAUGGAGAAGCACCAAGACGCUAGACAUGAAAGUGAAGCCUUGUGGGUUCUUCUAGCCCAGGCCAGCCACCAACUGAAUACACCUGAGUAAAUGACCCCAGCUGACACCUGUGGAGCAGAACCACCCAGCUGAGCCUGCCUCAGAACUGUGAGAAAAAUUAAGCCACAGUUGUUCAUCUGUUCAACAAAGUCUGCCCGCUGUGCAAUCUGUGGCUCUCCAGGGCUGGGGUGUUGAAGAAAACCUGCUGGCUGUGAAACAGAAGGGGAGUUGUUUUAUUUCAUGCCGGUACUUUUCAGUGUGAGCAAGCUUAUUUCUUGUUAAAAAAAAAAAAAAAAAAAAAGAGGCAAAAACUUAAUCUCUCGAUCCUUUGAAUUGAGGAGAAAUUUUUAAAAACAUACAAUUUUCCUCAUACAAGGUAGUGGUAUUUUUCCUAAGGGGGACACAGAUUGCCCCAGAAAGAAGAAAAAAAAUGAAGUUCUCUCCAACCCCAUUUUCAAAUUCGAUCCCGGGCAUUCCCUUUGAGGGAAGUUGGGUGUUUGCCCAGGAAGUUGUGAGCGGCAGCCAAGAUUCACUCACACCUGGGAUAUAUAAACUCCUGCAGAAGCGGGCAGGGGAGAAGCCUGGCAUUUAUUGGAGGUCCUACUGGGUGCAAGGCACCGUGCUCACCACUUCCACCAUUAUUACCUACGUGUGACAAUAACUAGGAAGUAGACCUGCUCUUUUGCCCACUUUGCAGAAGGAAACUAAACCUCCAAGUGGCUAAGGAUCUUCCCCGAGGUCAUGCUCCGUACACACCCCCAGGGCGGAAAGCAGCACUUUACUAUUGUUGCUUCUGGUUCUCUGCAGGUGUCUGCGUGGUUCUCACUUGGGGCUCAGGCAUCUACAGUUAGAUGUUGGCCAUGGCUGUGGUUACCCAGAGGCUCCGCUGGGCUGGAUGUCCCCAUAUGCUUGCUGAGCGAAUGAAAGCUAGAGCCGUCACUCAGUGUCAGAGGUAGCCUCUCUGAGAGGGACUGUCCUGAGAAGCCCGGGCAGAGGCCACACGUCUCCUCUAGCUCUGGCCUUCAGCACUACUUCUGCAGGUUCUUAGCCAGAGUGAAUCAGAGGCCAGGCUUAGGUAAGCAAGAUGGGGGUGGACCCCAUCUCUCUCUCUCUUUUUUUUUUUACAUGUUUAUUUAUUUUUGAGAGAGAGAGAGAGAGUGUGUGCAAGCAGGAGAGGAGCAGAGAGAGAGGGAGACACCGAAUCUGAAGCAGGCUCCAGGCUCUGAGCUGUCAGCGCGGAGCCUGAGGCAGGAUUCCAACCCACCAAUCUUGAGAUCACGACCUGAGCCGAAGUCCCACGCUUAACCCACGGAGCCGCCCAGGCGGCCCUGGACUCCAUCUCUCAAUGGGAGGAGGCGUGAAAAGAAUUUGCAGCCAUCUUAAUCUACCACACCUUGAAAGCAGUGAAGCCAGGAUUUGAAUCCAGGUCACCUGACUCCUUCCUUUGUAAUCCCUACAGGCUUAACCGCGAACCUUCCCAGCUACUGGAAAUGGCCAUUACUGAUUCUGGCGUUUGAAAAGGCAGUUGGUGGCAAUAUCAACACCACUCGGAUACCUCUUACUAAGGAUGCCAGCGUUGGCUGCACCAAGCUCUCCUGAGAAGCGCCUCAGUCUCCCCGCUACCCACGGGAAGCCGCCGUCUUUCCUAACGGAAGAUGAGUGCCUUCGAAACCAUUGAACCCAACGCCUGCAAAGCUUCACAGGUGCCAGGUGUCCCUCCUUCUGAGGUUGCUGAUUCUUCUACCGUAAGAUGCUGAGCCCUCGUUGAACCUGGACACGCAGGUUAGGAGUUCUCUGGAGGUUCUCUGAUAAGUGCUGUUUGGAAUCCUGGGCAAAGGUCUGGGCGUUUCGAAAACCACUUUUUACCGUGGUUUCCUUUAGAAGCGAGAGCCCCAGCCACGUUCCCCUGCCACCCAACCUUGGUUACUGUCCCAACCGUGACCUGCCCUCUCCAAACAUCCAGCCGCACACUUCUCUUUGGUUCGUCUCUGCUGUUGUGUCCCAUGCUCCUCCAGAUUCUUCUGCGGCGCUGUCUGGCACUAGGAUACCAAGGCGUGAUGGGUUUCACUGGGUAUAAGAAAAGCCCAGUCGUCCUGGGGCACUGAGGGUCAGUCAAAACAGGUCAGGAGGAAGACAUCUAUAGAAAAUGGAGGCACUGUCCCCAGAGGGGUCUUCUAUUCCUUUCACACCACUGCAGUGUUUGUUCAUUCCUCAGAUCCUCAGGCUCCUCGUCGGCACCCGUGCCAUGACAGACACUGUCCCCCGCCCCCCCCGCCCACGGUUCUAAGCACCUCUUUCCGGGCCCCCCACCCUCUCUCCUCUGUGAGGCUCCCAGAGCCCCCUCUGGUGCAGAACCUCCUGCUUCCAGUGUUCAUUGAAUGAAGAAACCUUGCUGUUAAAUUUUAGAAAAAGAUUUUAAAGCUGAGGGGAGGAGGCAGCUCAGGGAAUCUCAAUGCCGCAAAUUGGAGAGUUUAAAACCUAAUUACUGUCUGGCCUCGGCCUCGAAAAAGGCCUCAAUCAAUAUUUAUUGAAUGAUUAAGCAAACUUUACAUUCACACUGUUGGUAAAUAAAAGGAUUUUCCUAAUAAGCAAAUCAUUAGAAGAGAUUGCUGGAAGGAGUUUAACUUAAUUAAGAGGAUACUUCUCGAAUGUUUUGUUCUAUCCAUUCCAAAUAAUAGGCUUCUUACAAUUUUCAAGUGUGCCUUAGGUAUUUGUUAAAGAAUGUCUAAGACUUGUCUCCAUUAGAUAAGAUUUCCUAUCAGUUUGUGUUGGCGCUUAAAAGUAAUAACAGUGAAUGUCUUGUAAAUGGCCUUUUCUCCCAACUUUCUACCGAUUGAAAAUGGAAAUAACUUCUUUCAUCCGCCAAACACCAAAACGUAUCCUGGCAAGGUAGAUCUUAAGAACACAGCUUAGUGUCUUCGUGGGUCAAAUAGAGAUAGUAAUGGCCAUCAGGGAGCGGUCGUUGAGAAUUCAAUGAGAUUGUGACAGGGAAAUAUUUUGACAAAUUUACAAAUGCUUUUUAAACUGUGUACUUAUUUCCUAGUGUCCCUUGCCCUCCUCCUGAUUCUGUCUGUAGUCUUUCCUUAUCGCCUUGAAGUCAGCUAGCUUUUAUUGCCUCAGGGGAGGAGUGAUAAGGCAGAAAAGCCACAAAACUACUUAGGAGUGGUAAGGAGGCCUUUCGAACUGCCAAAUUUAACCCUUGAAUGAUGGAAGCAUCAAGUUUGUGGCAUAAAUAUUGAACACAGAAAAACAGAGAACUAGGCAUAUAAAGAUGAUCAAGGCUAUGGAAGGGAGGAGAGAAGCCAAAGAGAGGCAAAACGUUGGUAGUAGUGUCCCUGAAAAAAAGGCUUACCCCAGGGAGGUGGCUCCAGGCAGCAGAAUUUGUCAGGCAGAAGGGCUGAGAGGGGAGGUGGGAGUAUCAGGCUCUCUCCAGAUGCCGGAAACUGUGGCUUGUUCUUGGUGAAGUAGGAGGUAGUUUUGAGGUAGCAGAGAGAACCAUGACUUGGAGGUGUGGAGCGAAGGAGUAACCCAGGCAGGGUCCUGAUGGGAUGUCAAGUCUGGCAGUUGGGAUUGAUAAAGUUAAUUUGUACACCGGGACCCACAAAACGGAGGCUCACGUCACAAAUCUAAACCCAAGUCAGCCUGUGCUUAGGAAAAACAUCUGUCAGGGAAACCUAACACACACCGAUCACAAUCCUCCACCUCAGCUUUAGCGAGGUUACCUUACCCUAGGAAACAAGACCUGUUAGACUUAGAAGGAAACCCUCAUCAAUCAUGCCCUGUUUCCACAUUGCCUCUUCUAACGCCCUAUAAAACUCGCUCUUGCCCAAACACCCUUGGGAACAGUGCUCUGCUACUUGUGAGGCACUACUCCCUCGUCUGUGGAGGGUUUUCCCUUGAAUAAAGGACAUUAAACUCAAAUUGCUUCAGUUCUGUCACUUGACAGGAUGUAAUGGCAGAUGCCACUAUGGAUAGAUGGACACCAGGACAUGGAAUCCCAGCCUCUUCCCAUCACCUGGAAACUCAGGCAAAACCUGGAAUAGAGCAGGAGCCAAAAUCAACUGGAAUUAAGUUUCUGCCACCCAGAAGAAUGGGCAUUAAAAAGAGAAGUUAAAGCCAUUUAGGGGCUUCUGGGUGGCUCAGUCAGUUAAGCACUCCCCUCUUGACUUCAGCUCAGGUCAUGAUCUCAAGGUUUGUGGGACUGAGCCCUGCAUCAGGCUCUGUGCUGACAGUGUGGAGCCUGCUUGGGAUUCUCUCUCUCCUCUCUCCACCCCUCUCCUGCUCGCAUGUGUUCUCACAUGCUCUCUCUCCCUCUCUCUCAAAAUAAAUAAACAUUAAAAAAAAAAAAGGGAUGAAAGCCACUUAUAGAAAAAAGUAAAUUAGAAUACAUUACUAAUUUUACAUAUUUCAUCCAGAUCUUAAGAUUUGCCCCAUCCUAAGAUAAUGAUAUAAGUACCUGAUUAUACAAUAUGUGCUCGAUAAAUGCUAGUUACUAUUACUACCUUUGAUCCCAAGACAAGAUACUGAAGAAAGUCCUAUUAUACACUUUAAGAAAGGCCUACUACCAGAUGUGAGGGCAAUCUGGCUGAGACAUCUGUCAUUCCAUUGAUCGCCAGGGUUGAUUUGAUUGAUCUGGCUGGCUAAGUGGGUGUCCCCUUCCUCCCUCACCUCUCUGUGUGUUCCCCCCUGAAGCUGCACACUUGGUCAAAGAGGAUAACCUUCCCCAUAGAGGAGGACCAUUCUUAGGUCGAGGGUGUCUGGGUAGUUGCACUCCCCUGCUAGAAUCUCCAAACAAGCUCUCAAGGUCCAUUUGUAGAAGAACGUAUGGUAAUCAAGCUUCCAAGACUCCAGACAUAUCCAAAUGAGGUGCUACAUGUGACAGUCUGCCUUUCUUUAAAAAAGGAGGAAGGAAGGAAGGAAGGAAGGAAGGAAGGAAGGAAGGAAGGAAGGAAAGAAGGAAGAAAAAGAAGUCCUAUUACUUUCCCUUAGAGAACCAAAGAGGGAAAGGGGGGGUCAUUUUAUUCUUGCUGAGGGACACUCAAGUUAGAACAGUUGUGGGAGGAUGAGCCAUCAACAACACAGAGAGGACAGCAAUGAUGAGCUUCUAUGACUGGUAGGGCAAAUUUCCUCUUUGCUUAUUUUUUAAAGAUUGAGUUGACUACAUAUGGUCUUCUAGAGAAACCACUAUAUAGUCAUCAAAAUCAGCUUCCUUUAGGGCACACAGUCAGACUACAUUUCCCAAUUCUCCUGAGAAGGUGGGUGGGAUCUUGUGACCAAUUCUGGCCAAUGGAAUGGGGUAGAAGUAGGAUGCUGCUUCUUUCUCCCUAAAAGCCUUUCAUGUGAUCCUCUAUAACUGGAGCCAAAAAACCCCAAGGAUCUAGGAAACAGUCAGAGCCUGAGUCUCUGAGAAGCCACUAGGAGGAGAGCCAUUGAAAUAGGGCACUUGGGUUGGACUACUCCUAAGUAAGGAAUAAACUUUCCGUGGGUUAAGCCAUUGAAACAUCAUGGCUGUUUGACAUAGCAGCCAACUCUAACGCACACUGUAUAAAUGCUAGAGUAAGGGUAUGGAGUUCCUUCCAAAUGCUAUUAUGGCUCCCUACCUCUGAACCCCCACUUUCUACCCUUUUGCUGCAUUCAGCCUUUUUAGUAGCCUUCCCAGACAUCCAGAAGUGGGUAAGUACAAUAGCGGCUUGCUUGCCUCCUAAAUGUGCUUUGGGAUUUAGGCAUUUAGGAGAGUGAACAUGAAGUGGUUUCAUGGUAAGAACUUAAAAAUCCAAUAGAAUUUUCGUAAACAGAAGGCACGUUCGUAGCCAU